UGCGUAGGCGGUGCUACAAGUCGGGUGUGAAAUCCCUCAGCUUAACUGAGGAACUGCGCCCGAAACUGUAGUGCUGGAGUGAGGCAGGGGUGAGCGGAACUGAUGGUGGAGCGGUGAAAUGUGUUGAUAUCAUCAGGAACACCGGUGGCGAAGGCGGCUCACUGGGCCUUUACUGACGCUGAGGCACGAAAGCUAGGGGAGCAAACGGGAUUAGAUACCCCGGUAGUCCUAGCUGUAAACGAUGAGCACUUGAUCGGAGACUCCUCCAUAGGUUUCCGGUCGUAGCGAAAGUGUUAAGUGCUCCGCCUGGGGAGUAUGGUCGCAAGGCUGAA
rnacentral:rRNA from 1 species